rnacentral:rRNA from 1 species
UGGGGAAUCUUGCACAAUGGGCGAAAGCCUGAUGCAGCAACGCCGCGUGCGGGAAGAAGGCCCUCGGGUUGUAAACCGCUUUCAGAAGGAACGAAACUGACGGUACUUUCAGAAGAAGGUGCGGCCAACUACGUGCCAGCAGCCGCGGUGACACGUAGGCACCAAGCGUUGUCCGGAUUUAUUGGGCGUAAAGAGCUCGUAGGCGGUUCAGUAAGUCGGGUGUGAAAACUUUGGGCUUAACCCAAAGCGUGCAUCCGAUACUGCUGUGACUUGAGUACGGUAGGGGAGCGGGGAAUUCCUAGUGUAGCGGUGAAAUGCGCAGAUAUUAGGAGGAACACCGGUGGCGAAGGCGCCGCUCUGGGCCGAAACUGACGCUGAGGAGCGAAAGCAUGGGUAGCAAACAGGAUUAGAUACCCAAGUAGUCCCUGAGCGGGCUGGCAAGGCGCAU